rnacentral:rRNA from 1 species
UACGUAGGGUGCAAGCGUUGUCCGGAAUUAUUGGGCCUAAAGCAUCCGUAGCCGGUUCUGCAAGUCUUCCGUUAAAUCCACCUGCUUAACAGAUGGGCCGCGGAAGAUACUAUAGAGCUAGGAGGCGGGAGAGGCAAGCGGUACUCGAUGGGUAGGGGUAAAAUCCGUUGAUCCAUUGAAGACCACCAGUGGCGAAGGCGGCUUGCCAGAACGCGCUCGACGGUGAGGGAUGAAAGCUGGGGGAGCAAACCGG